AAAUCCCUGCGGUGUUCGAGUAUCGGGCGUUAUGCUUUUAACCGAUGUUAUAAAACAUGGGGCAUUAACCCGUCUUCAUGAUGUCACGCCUUUUUUAAGGAAGGCUGACCGGAGGCUGGCCGUCCCACCUAGUCUUACUGGGGUAAAAGACCUCGCCCUAACGGCACAGGCGGGGAUUUU
rnacentral:other from 1 species